rnacentral:rRNA from 1 species
AUUGAACGCUGGCGGCAGGCCUAACACAUGCAAGUCGAGCGGAUGAAGGGAGCUUGCUCCUGGAUUCAGCGGCGGACGGGUGAGCAAUGCCUAGGAAUCUGCCUGGUAGUGGGGGAUAACGUCCGGAAACGGGCGCUAAUACCGCAUACGUCCUGAGGGACAAAGUGGGGGAUCUUCGGACCUCACGCUAUCAGAUGAGCCUAGGUCGGAUUAGCUAGUUGGUGGGGUAAAGGCCUACCAAGGCGACGAUCCGUAACUGGUCUGAGAGGAUGAUCAGUCACACUGGAACUGAGACACGGUCCAGACUCCUACGGGAGGCAGCAGUGGGGAAUAUUGGACAAUGGGCGAAAGCCUGAUCCAGCCAUGCCGCGUGUGUGAAGAAGGUCCUCGGAUUGUAAAGCACUUUAAGUUGGGAGGAAGGGCAGUAAGUUAAUACCUUGCUGUUUUGACGUUACCAACAGAAUAAGCACCGGCUAACUUCGUG